rnacentral:rRNA from 1 species
AACGAACGCUGGCGGCAUGCCUAACACAUGCAAGUCGAACGAGACCUUCGGGUCUAGUGGCGCACGGGUGCGUAACGCGUGGGAACCUGCCCUUAGGUUCGGAAUAACUCCCCGAAAUGGGUGCUAAUACCGGAUAAUUUCUUCGGACCAAAGAUUUAUCGCCUUUGGAUGGGCCCGCGUUGGAUUAGCUAGUUGGUAGGGUAAAAGCCUACCAAGGCGACGAUCCAUAGCUGGUCUGAGAGGAUGAUCAGCCACACUGGGACUGAGACACGGCCCAGACUACUACGGGAGGCAGCAGUGGGGAAUAUUGGACAAUGGGCGAAAGCCUGAUCCAGCAAUGCCGCGUGAGUGAUGAAGGCCUUAGGGUUGUAAAGCUCUUUUACCCGGGAUGAUAAUGACAGUACCGGGAGAAUAAGCUCCGGCUAACUCCGUG